UUGCAUUUCUCUAUAGGCACUAGAAUAGAGACCCUGAGCUUAAUAGAAGAGAAAGUAGGCCCAAAUCUUCAUGUCAACUUGGGAUCCGACUUCCUUAACAAGACUCCUAAAGCCUAAGAAAUAAAAUCAAGAAUCAAUAAAUGGGAUGGAUUCAAACUAAAAAGCUACUUCUCAGCAAAGGAAACAAUAACGUGAAGAGAGAGUCCAUAGAAUGGGAGAGAAGUUUUACCACAUGCAUCUCAUAUAGAGAGCAUUAAUCUCUAGGAUAUAUAAAGAACUCAAAAAAAACCUUUAACACCAAAAAACCCAAAUAACCCAGUCAAUAAAUGGUCAAAAGAACUGAACAGACACUUCACAGAAGAAGAAAUACAAUUGAUCAACAAAGAUUGUGCAGCUUUAGAAACAGAAUUUAAUUGCUCUGUUUACAGUGAAUUCUUUUCAUUUUCUUCAUGGACUUGCAAAAUCCCACAACCUAUGAAUAGCAAAUUUCAGAGGAAUAAUUAGGUAUGUCUUUUUUAAUGGAAAACUUUUCAAAACAUUAAUUUGCAUGUGUGUAUUUGUGUGUAGGGGAGUUGACAUUUUACAUUAUUUCCAAAUUGCUAUAAAUAUUCCCAGAUACAGCUUUUAAAAUAUAAUUAUAUAUAUAUAUAUAUAUAUAUAUAUA
rnacentral:lncRNA from 1 species